rnacentral:rRNA from 1 species
UACGGGGGGAGCGACCGUUGUUCGGAAUCACUGGGCGUAAAGGGCGUGUAGGCGGCUGAAUAAGUGGGAUGUUAAAUCCCCCGGCUCAACCGGGGACCUGCAUCUCAUACUGUUCAGCUCGAGCACAUCAGAGGAGACUGGAAUUCCCGGUGUAGCGGUGAAAUGCGCAGAUAUCAGGAGGAACACCCGUGGCGAAAGCGGCUCUCUGGGACGGUACUGACGCUGAGACGCGAAAGCGUGGGGAGCAAACAGG